rnacentral:lncRNA from 1 species
GGAGUAAAUGAUAGUGAUGGUGAAAAUGCAAUAGUGUUAAUAAAUCUUAGUUCUCAUUGCUCCUCAUAUUGCUAUCUCUCCUCCUCUUCGAUCUUUGCUUUGGGAGAACAUGGGCUAUCUCUUUUUUUUUCAGGUGGGUAAUAGAUACCCCUAAUUCUACUGUCGGACACUUGUCCAUUUUUUUUCCGCUCAAGUGGGCAUCUUUGUACCCCUAAUUCUACUUCGGACACUUGUCUAUUUUUACCUCUCGUCUCACUCUUUUUCUUUCUUUUCCGAGGUUCCGGGCACUUGCCCCUUUUUAUUUCCUCGUAUGUUUUUGCAUAACCCAUGCCUCUUCUACAUUGAAUCUUUUUAGAGAGAGAAUAACAAUACUUGGGACAGUGAGUGAUAAUAUAUUUUUUUAGCAAUUUUAAUGAUUAAUGCUGUGGUACAUGCGUGCAAGUGAAUAUCUUAAUUUAACCACAUGAAAAGCUCCUAAGGGUCU